rnacentral:lncRNA from 1 species
AAUCCUCUGUUGUGGAACUGACUACACUAGAAUUAAUCUCUUUUAUCUGCCUUUGCCUUCAGUUCAUAAUCUCCUAAAAGGUAGGUGGAGCAAUUUAAACUGUUCAAGAGAAAUCCAACUGGCCUCCAUGAGUACUUGUGAAAGAACUUGGAACUGCCACUGGAGGUCAGCGAGCAUCAUGUGGAAGGUGUUGGAAGAAGGGAGAAGACGCCUGUUGCCAGUCCUCAAAGACAUCAAGAUUAUGGAAAAGCUGCAAAAAAGGACCCUUCAAUCAGACUCAUUAAUUGUUAAUAUUCAGCCAUUUGAGAGUUAGACAUCAUAACUUUCAGCCCAAUUUGUCAACACAUCUCUCCUAAAACAGGACCAUUCUUCCACAAACCUCAUUAUAAUUAUCAUAAGAAAAUUUGACAUUAAUACAAUGCUUUUAUCUAGGUAUAACCCAUAUUCAUAUUUCUAAAGUUGCCCCAAUAAAAUCUUUCAUAGUUAUUCAUACUCUUUCCAGUUGCUUAGAAACAGUCAUGCAUUAUAUUUAGUUAUGAUAUCUCUUUAUUGUCCUCUAAUCUAAAACAAUUCCUAGCUUUUUUUUCUUUCACUAUAUUAACAUUUUUAAAGAGAUUGGAUCAUUGUUUUGCACACUAUUACUAAAAUGAGUACUUUUGCAUGAUUAGAUUCAGGUAAAGAACAUUUUUGGCAGGACAACAGAUGUGAUGUUAUAUCUUUCACAGAGUAUCGUAUCAGGAAAUGGAUGAAAUAAAUAUAUCCUAAUUGGAAAAUUAAGUUUGAUACCUUGGUUAAGGUGGUAUCUGUCAGAUUUCUUCAUUGUGUAGGUACUUUUGUCUUUUGUGAUUAGUAAAUACUCUGUGGAGUAAUAUUGUGAGAGUGUAUAAAUAUUUGUUUUGCAGCGAUUCUUCAAUGGUUUUGGUAUCCAUUAAAACAUAUUGCUUGAAUCAAUCAUUACUUUUGUCUCAGCAAAAUGGUGUUUUACCAAUUUUAUUGUCUUUUC